GGGUGUAGCUCAGUAGUAGAGCAUGUGCUUAGCAUGCACAAAGCCUUGGAUUUAAUCCCCAGGACCCCCA
rnacentral:tRNA from 1 species